AACCUGGUUGAUCUUGCCAGUAGUCAUAUGCUUGUCUCAAAGAUUAAGCCAUGCAAGUGAAAGUAUAUGCAUAUUUGAUAUGUAGAAACUGCGAACGGCUCAUUAAAACAGUUAUAAUCUACUUGACAUUUUUUUUUGUAUAAGGAUAACUACGGAAAAGCUGUAGCUAAUACUUGUUUGAAAGUGUUGCACCACUUUCGAGUGGUGUAACAUGGUACUUGUUAGUUCUUAUAAAAAAUUUUUCAAUUGAAUGAAUUAUAACAACGAAGUGACACAUAACAAUAGUUUAUUGUUUAGUGUGCAUCAAUCGAGUUUCUGACCUAUCAGCUUUUGAUGUUAAGAUAUAGGCUUAACAUGGCUAUGACGGGUAACGGGGAAUUAGAGUUCGAUUCCGGAGAGGGAGCCUGAGAAACGGCUACCACAUCUAAGGAAGGCAGCAGGCGCGUAAAUUACCCAAUUCUAAAGAAGAGAGGUAGUGACAAGAAAUAAUAGGACAAGACCACUUUUUGGUUUUGUAUCUGUGCUGAUAGGAAUUUAAACGUUUCCUAGAAUUCUAUUGGAGGGCAAGUCUGGUGCCAGCAGCCGCGGUAAUUCCAGCUCCAAUAGCGUAUAUUAAAAUUGUUGCAGUUAAAACGCUCGUAGUUGAAUUUUGUGUGGUCGAAAAGUAAGGGUUUCCUAAUCGUUAACAUUAAAGGAUAAAAAGGGGUGUCGUUUUUGUGAUGACUAACCUUUUCAUUUUUUUUGUUAUUAUGCAUUUUGUCCUCUUACACAAUGGACCACUAUUAACGGACACUACUACUAUAUUCGAUAUAUGUUAGUUAGUUACGUUAGUUACUUUGAGUAAAUUAGAGUGUUUAAAGCAAACAUUUAAAGCAUUUUUUGAAUGUGUUUGAAUACUAUAGCAUGGAAUAACAAUAUUGAGCAAACCGAGAAUUUUUUUUGCUUCGGCAUAAAUUUUUAAUUUUGGUUUAGUUACGAUUAAUAGGAGUAGUUUUUGGGGGCAUUUGUAUUCAGAUGUUAGAGGUGAAAUUCUUAGAUUUUCUGGAGACAAACUACUGCGAAAGCAUUUGCCUACUAUACUUCCAUUAAUCAAGAACGAAAGUUAAGGGAGUGAAGACGAUCAGAUACCGUCGUAAUCUUAACCAUAAACCAUACCGACUAGGUUUUGGAUGAUUUUGAAACAUGGUUAUUUUGUUUAUCGUACUUGCUUCGGCAGUUGGAUAGGACAAAAACCGAGUGCAUCGUUCAGUACCUUAUGAGAAAUCAAAGUUUUUGGGUUCUGGGGCGAGUAUUCGCGCAAGCGAGAAAGUUAAAAGAAUUGACGGAAGGGCACCACCAGGCGUGGAGCUUGCGGCUUAAUUUGACUCAACACGGGAAACCUCACUAGUUUAAGACAAGAGUAGGAUUGACAGAUUGACAGCUCUUUCUUGAUUUCUUGGAUGGUGAUGCAUGGCCGUUUUUAGUUCGUGAAUUUUGAUUUGUCUGGUUAAUUCCGAUAACGAACGAGACCUUACUUUGCUAAUUAGCGGUUUGUACGUUGUGUCUACCAUGUUUAGGAUAAUUUGAAUGUGCAUAAUUUUUUGUUUAUUACUAAUAUUCAAAUAUUAUUUGCAUUACUAAUUUUUCUGUGACAUUUUAGACGUACCUACUAAAAUUUGAAGCUUCUUAGAGGAACGAUGUGCGUUUAGCACAAGGAAGUUUAAGGCAACAACAGGUCUGUGAUGUCCUUAGAUAUACUAGGCUGCACGCGUGCUACACUGAUAUGUGUAACAAGUUUGUAACACACAAAAGUGCAUUUUUAAUGUAAAUUUUGUUGUUCCUUCACUGAAAAGUGUGGGUAAUCUUUUUUUCAGUACAUAUCGUGAUGGGGAUAGAUUAUUGCAAUUAUUAAUCUUGAACGAGGAAUGCCUAGUAAGCAUGAUUCAUUAGAUUGUGCUGACUACGUCCCUGCCCUUUGUACACACCGCCCGUCGCUCCUACCGAUUGAAAGAUAUGAUGAAUUGUUUGGACAUGACUAGAAAUUAAAGAUUUUUCUUUAUAUUUCUAUUUUUGGAAGAACUGUAAAUCCUAUCUUUUAAAGGAAGGAGAAGUCGUAACAAGGUUUCCGUAGGUGAACCUGCGGAAGGAUCAUUA
rnacentral:rRNA from 1 species